rnacentral:lncRNA from 1 species
GCGUGGUCAUGAAAACCAAUGUAAAUUUUCAGAAAACACUUUUGCAAGAUGUUAUCGGUUUAUUCUAUAUUCUUAACUCGGUCCAAAUAUCACCAUCUCCUUGCUUUCCCUGUUCUUUCAAUCACAAAAGGUGAUCUUGAGAAACUACAAAAUUCAAAUAUGUUGUGUCUUGAAAACCAAAGAUGUCUACAACGCAAAGUUUGGUUUUACAUGCAUAAUGCUAAGUUUUAGAAGGCACAGUCGUGAAAACCAUCUUUAAUUUUUUCAAGAACACUUUUCAAUUUUAAAGAUAGUUGCGUAUGUUCUAUAUCUUUAAAUAGGCCGAAAUAUCACCAUCUCCUUGCUUUCACUGUUCACAUGAUUAUGUUGUGGUUCAACAUUAACUCUUUUGGCAAAUAAUGCAUACAGAACCAAAAUGCUCUCAUUAGCAGUGUCCAGCACUGUGUGGCCAUACAUAUAUGAUCGUCACUUGUUACUGAAAUU